UCCUAGUAUGUGUAUAGUAGGAAUCUUGACAGUAAAAUACAGCUAUGCUGGAGUUUUGUAAUAUUAUCAGGGCUCAUGAAAGUUGUGGUGUUUGAAGAUUGCAGUAGGUUAUAAAGAUUUGAAGGUUGUGAUGCAAAUAAUACAUUUAUACUGGUCUUGUGUAUAGUCCUAUAUAAUUUCCUUGUAUUAGGUUUUGGAGUGGCAGUGAUUGUUUCUCUUAUCUGUAGCAAUGAAGUGAAGACAAUAUAUGUUAUGUUUUAGAGU
rnacentral:lncRNA from 1 species